rnacentral:tRNA from 1 species
CAAAGUGUAGCUUAACAUAAAGCACCUGGCCUACACCCAGGAGAUUUCAACCCCAUUGACCACUUUGA